rnacentral:lncRNA from 1 species
GUUCUGUCCACUUUAGCUACCCCUCCUGGAGCCACCCCCUCCAUUCAUAACUACAGAGCUCGAGGUGGCUUCUCUCUGUGCAAGGGAACCAAGAGGCUCCUCCCACAAAAUACCUAAGAGGAGAUUAAGGAUUUUACUUUUUCCAUUCAUCCAUCUUUCUCUGGAUCUGCAGGUCAGUCAGUGCAAGACAGGGGUGAACAGGGUCACUGCCUACUCAAAACUUUCCUCCCUAUCAAGUGCUCUGCUAUACCAGUUCCCAGUCCCCUGCCACCUGCUUGGAUCACCAGGAAGUAUGUAAAAGGUGGUGCCUGCUAUAUUUUGGGCCUGUCUGUGAGUGUGGGUAACAUUCCUGGAAGGAGUCCCGCUGUGUACUUCUAUUUCUGCAGUUCCUUCUUGCAGGGAGAUUGUGUGUUGCUGCACACAUGCACACAUGUGAUUCACUGACAGCAGGAAAGGUGUAAGCAGCUUGUGAGAGUUCCUUCCUCCUUGUCCCUUCUCCAGUGGCCUGUAUCUCUCUGGUUUCCCAGAAAAGGCCAUCAUAAACUUCUUUGCCAGGGACCAAAAGGCCUGUGCUCUCCAGGGCAGGCACUGGGGCCCUGAGGCAGGCUUUCCCCAGAUCCACCGCUUGGAGCCCUGUCCCCUAGCCUCUCCUGCACCUUCUCACUCCUCCCACCACCAAGAAGCAUGAAGAUGAGCUGCAAUACGCUACGGCCCAGAGGACUGCAAUACGCGACGGCCUAGUGAACAGGAAGGUGCGACAUAAGAGAAGAGGGUUUUCCAGCUUGGAGGUGCAGGAGGGCAAAGGGUAGGAAGGAGAAAAACAGGGAUGGUGAAAAUACAGAACGGCCUCUGCAUGGGGCGGACCCCACCUCUUCGCUGACUCUGCCCGUGCGGUUCCUGUCUCUCUUGGCUUUGUCCCUGUGCUCUCUUCUGCUUUUUUCUCUGUGUCUGUGUCUGUCGCUUUCUCUCCUUGUCUGUCUCUGUCCCUAUGCAGUGUCUCUCUGUCUCUCAUGCACACACACUGCAUUCUCACCCUCCCUCAAUUCCACCUCAUCCUCUGUUUCUGACAGGCUCAAGGUCCAUGUCAAGCACCAGCCCCACAGGGUAGCAUUCCUGGCUGCCAUCCUGCUGCUGCUGCUGCUGCAGGUAAAAGGAGCCAAGACUCAGAAGAGCAGCACAGGGCCGGAGGAGGGGGCCCUGGAAGAGAAAACGCCCCCUGCAGAGCAGGGCCAAGAGCAGUAUGAAGAGCACUUCAUGGCCUCCUCGGAGGGUGAGAAGUGGCAGGUGAUGGACAUGGCCCGGCAAGAGGAGGACUUCACCUCUGACACAGCAGCUGCCCAAGACCACCGCCUCUUCGAUCUGGCUCUCUGCUUUAACUUGGCCAGCAUCAUGGUUUUUUUCUUUUUUUUUGAGGGAUGUUGAGAAUAAGGAGAUGGCUUGGCUCCUGGAGGAGGAAGACCCAGAUUUUUUUUCCUUGACUUCUUGAUCGCUUACUGAUCUCCACUCUCUACUGGGUUCCAUGCCACAGCUCCCCAAAGAGAUACCCACACCACUCCCUGCACACUGCUCCCUGCUCUUGCCAGCGGCACCUGUCCUUAGGGUGCAGCCUUUCCUGCAUGGCUUCUGCCUGAUGCCACCCCAAGCCCACAGCUCUAUGGUCCAGGGCCAGAGGCCUCAGAGCCGUGCCCUUUUCCCUCCCAUGCCUCCACUGGUUUUGUCCAAUAUAGCAGAUUGGAGGGCAGAGGCAUUGACAGUAAAACAGCAAUAAAAUCCUGAAAAUAAUUAGGAGAAACUUUCUGAGACUUAACCAAGCCCUUGAGUUUCUAACUGCUCUGUUUAAUUGCCCAGUCUUUGACCUUCAGACCCACCAACUCACCGGGUGCCUAUUCUUUCCUAUUCUAAUGUUCAGGGAGCCCUUCUUGACAUUUUUCCCUCUUAUCUUUUCUGACUUCUAGGAAUAAAAAAUAGCAUGUAAAUCAUUAAGAGAUGACAGAAGCCAAGUGUCAGCUUUUAUUUUUGGAAG